UCCAAGAACAAGAAGCCGGAUCCGGAAGCACUAGCACGCAGUUUGAUCAACGUAUUACAAUAAUUGUUACUCACGUUAUCCACCCACUUAGACCAAUUACAAAAGGAACUGACUCGUUAGAUUUUAGCGCAGCGAUAGUGCGCACGGAACACGACGGUGUCGUAGCCGUCUCAAAUACAAAAUUCUAAAAACGAAUACUUUCUCGAGUUAGUACGACACGAAGCGUCAAUAUUAUUCAAGAAAAAUGGCAUCUUAUGUUUUUAAAUAUUUUAAAAAUUGUUCAUUAUUUAUUAUUAGAAUUAAUUUACGUAAAUGUUAUUAGUGUUAAAUUUUAUUUUGAAAUACAAAUUAUGAAAACCUUUGACAGAUGAAAACAGUUUGUAUAAGCGGAUGUCAAGGAGGAGAAGCGUGAUGUUUGUUUUUUUCAUGGGUUUUUACAGAAUAAAGACUCAUUCUGGACCAUCUUUAUUCUGCGUUAAUACCUACCUAUAUCUACCAGUAGAUAUAUUUAAGUUUGCACUUUCUAAAAGUAGAAUCACAAGAAACACCAUUAAAACGAUCUGAUUUUAAGAACAAUAUCAAAUAAAAGAUUACGUCAAAAACAAUCAGAUGGACAUAUUAUAGAAGUUUCACAGGACGUAAAUGAUUCCUUUAAAUGGCGCCUACGUUCUUCAAGGCCUUAGACCAUUAAAAAGAAAGGACCUGCCUCGUAAUCCGUUACCCCUCUGUCAAAGACCAAGAAUCAAUGAUCUAAUGCGUUGAUAAAAACUGUUGCUAUAGAAUCAAUGGUUCAUUCUUUGACACCUAUAUAUAUGGACCUGUGGCAUUUUACGUCAAAAUUGGUCAAGGAUUUAAUUUUUUAGAGAAUAAACAAAAUUUUUUCGUAACCUCUCUAACUUAAAGAAAGCUACCUUAAUGGAGCGAGAUAGAUUUUUAAUCAUUGCUUAAAGAGGUUAGACAUAUUUUACAUGACAACAUCAAUUAUGUCAGUUGUGACUAAAUUAUCUUUUGUUUUUGGUGACCAAAAAUGGCUAUUGUUGUGGUUCCGGUGUAACGGUAUUCGAAAUAUUACGGAAAUAAUAACCAAUAAGCUUGUGAAUCGCAAAAUAAAUUAAAUAUUAUACAAUGUUGAAGUGCGCAGUUGUUGCCUGCACCAACAAAACCCAAACAAAACUAGCGGGAAUUUCAUUUCACAAAUUUCCAAAAAAUCAUAAUUUAAGACGAAAAUGGAUAAACAGCAUUAACAGGCCUAAUUACUACAGCUGCAUAUGUAGUGAUCAUUUUAAGAAGGAUCACAUUAAUUUAACAUUAUGCUUUCCACGCCUCAAAGACAAUGCCUGUACAUCUAUCCCGACUUUAUCACCUGAGCAACAAGUAAGACAACCCUUGCAAGAAGUGAAUCUUAAUCUGUUAUCAGAGAGUCAUGAUAAUGCUGUUUCCCAAAAUGGAAUACAAGUAUUGUAUUGUAUUGUAUUGUCAACAACAUACUUUAAAACUAAAAUUUUCUUGUAAUAACGUCUCAAAAAAUAUGAAAAAAAAAAUAUUUUGUCUGGUAUAACGAUAAUCAAAUUUUAAAAGACCAUUUAUAAAAAAGUGUCAACUAGCCUAUUACUUUUUGUUAUGUAUAACGUCCUGUAUAACGCAACUUCUAUAAAUAAAUUUUGUUGAUGAAUUACGAUUUUUGUUUCCUAUUGCCUUGAGGAUUCAGUGCAUAAACUGUGCGACUUGGAGAGUUUAGUAUUAGGCUGGUGGUCUAGGACAACAUCAUAUUCAUCUGAUAGUAAUCGUUACACAUCCAAGACAUAAACACAGGCCAACGUUCGUGAGUGCCAAUACAAAACAUUGUAUAGUUUAAAUAAUUUAUACUAUACAAUGUGUAUUAACUACCACAGAAUAACCAGAGAGAGUCUUUACAAACUGUUUGCUAAAGCCUGCGUGCAACCCAUAAAAAAAAACAAUAGUCACAC